ACUCCUGCGGGAGGCAGCAGUGGGGAAUCUUGCGCAAUGGGCGAAAGCCUGACGCAGCCAUGCCGCGUGAAUGAUGAAGGUCUUAGGAUUGUAAAAUUCUUUCACCGGGGACGAUAAUGACGGUACCCGGAGAAGAAGCCCCGGCUAACUUCGUGCCAGCAGCCGCGGUAAUACGAAGGGGGCUAGCGUUGCUCGGAAUUACUGGGCGUAAAGGGAGCGUAGGCGGACAUUUAAGUCAGGGGUGAAAUCCCGGGGCUCAACCUCGGAAUUGCCUUUGAUACUGGGUGUCUUGAGUAUGAGAGAGGUGUGUGGAACUCCGAGUGUAGAGGUGAAAUUCGUAGAUAUUCGGAAGAACACCAGUGGCGAAGGCGACACACUGGCUCAUUACUGACGCUGAGGCUCGAAAGCGUGGGGAGCAAACAGGAUUAGAUACCCGUGUAGUCCCAU
rnacentral:rRNA from 1 species